rnacentral:rRNA from 1 species
GGGUUGUGAGGUUAAGCGACUAAGCGUACACGGUGGAUGCCCUGGCAGUCAGAGGCGAUGAAGGACGUGCUAAUCUGCGAAAAGCGUCGGUAAGGUGAUAUGAACCGUUACAGCCGGCGAUGUCCGAAUGGGGAAACCCAGUGCAAUUCGUUGCACUAUCGUUAACUGAAUACAUAGGUUAACGAGGCGAACCGGGGGAACUGAAACAUCUAAGUACCCCGAGGAAAAGAAAUCAACCGAGAUUCCCCCAGUAGCGGCGAGCGAACGGGGAGCAGCCCGGAGUCUGAAUCAGCUUGUGUGUUAGUGGAAGCGUCUGGAAAGUCGCAGGGUACAGGGUGAUACUCCCGUACACUAAAACACACAGGUUGUGAACUCGAAGAGUAGGGCGGGACACGUGGUAUCCUGUCUGAAUAUGGGGGGACCAUCCUCCAAGGCUAAAUACUCCUGACUGACCGAUAGUGAACCAGUACCGUGAGGGAAAGGCGAAAAGAACCCCGGCGAGGGGAGUGAAAAAGAACCUGAAACCGUGUACGUACAAGCAGUAGGAGCCCACUAGUUGGGUGACUGCGUACCUUUUGUAUAAUGGGUCAGCGACUUAUAUUCUGUAGCAAGGUUAACCGUAUAGGGGAGCCGCAGGGAAACCGAGUCUUAACUGGGCGUUAAGUUGCAGGGUAUAGACCCGAAACCCGGUGAUCUAGCCAUGGGCAGGUUGAAGGUUGGGUAACACUAACUGGAGGACCGAACCGACUAAUGUUGAAAAAUUAGCGGAUGACUUGUGGCUGGGGGUGAAAGGCCAAUCAAACCGGGAGAUAGCUGGUUCUCCCCGAAAGCUAUUUAGGUAGCGCCUCGUGAACUCAUCUUCGGGGGUAGAGCACUGUUUCGGCUAGGGGGUCAUCCCGACUUACCAACCCGAUGCAAACUACGAAUACCGAAGAAUGUUAUCACGGGAGACACACGGCGGGUGCUAACGUCCGUCGUGAAGAGGGAAACAACCCAGACCGCCAGCUAAGGUCCCAAAGUCAUGGUUAAGUGGGAAACGAUGUGGGAAGGCCCAGACAGCCAGGAUGUUGGCUUAGAAGCAGCCAUCAUUUAAAGAAAGCGUAAUAGCUCACUGGUCGAGUCGGCCUGCGCGGAAGAUGUAACGGGGCUAAACCAUGCACCGAAGCUGCGGCAGCGACACUAUGUGUUGUUGGGUAGGGGAGCGUUCUGUAAGCCGUUGAAGGUGGCCUGUGAGGGUUGCUGGAGGUAUCAGAAGUGCGAAUGCUGACAUAAGUAACGAUAAUGCGGGUGAAAAACCCGCACGCCGGAAGACCAAGGGUUCCUGUCCAACGUUAAUCGGGGCAGGGUGAGUCGACCCCUAAGGCGAGGCCGAAAGGCGUAGUCGAUGGGAAACAGGUUAAUAUUCCUGUACUCGGUGUUACUGCGAAGGGGGGACGGAGAAGGCUAUGUUGGCCGGGCGACGGUUGUCCCGGUUUAAGCAUGUAGGCGGAUGUUCCAGGUAAAUCCGGAACGUUACUAACGCUGAGGUGUGAUGACGAGGCACUACGGUGCUGAAGUGACAAAUGCCCUGCUUCCAGGAAAAGCCUCUAAGCAUCAGGUAACAUCAAAUCGUACCCCAAACCGACACAGGUGGUCAGGUAGAGAAUACCAAGGCGCUUGAGAGAACUCGGGUGAAGGAACUAGGCAAAAUGGUGCCGUAACUUCGGGAGAAGGCACGCUGAUGGUAGGUGAAGUGACUUGCUCAUGGAGCUGAAAUCAGUCGAAGAUACCAGCUGGCUGCAACUGUUUAUUAAAAACACAGCACUGUGCAAACACGAAAGUGGACGUAUACGGUGUGACGCCUGCCCGGUGCCGGAAGGUUAAUUGAUGGGGUUAUCCGUAAGGAGAAGCUCUUGAUCGAAGCCCCGGUAAACGGCGGCCGUAACUAUAACGGUCCUAAGGUAGCGAAAUUCCUUGUCGGGUAAGUUCCGACCUGCACGAAUGGCGUAAUGAUGGCCAGGCUGUCUCCACCCGAGACUCAGUGAAAUUGAACUCGCUGUGAAGAUGCAGUGUACCCGCGGCAAGACGGAAAGACCCCGUGAACCUUUACUAUAGCUUGACACUGAACACUGGUCCUUGAUGUGUAGGAUAGGUGGGAGGCUUUGAAGUGUGGACGCCAGUCUGCAUGGAGCCAUCCUUGAAAUACCACCCUUUAAUGGCUGGUGUUCUAACGUGGGCCCCUGAUCGGGGUUGCGGACAGUGUCUGGUGGGUAGUUUGACUGGGGCGGUCUCCUCCUAAAGAGUAACGGAGGAGCACGAAGGUCAGCUAAUCCUGGUCGGACAUCAGGAGGUUAGUGCAAUGGCAUAAGCUGGCUUGACUGCGAGCGUGACGGCGCGAGCAGGUGCGAAAGCAGGUCAUAGUGAUCCGGUGGUUCUGAAUGGAAGGGCCAUCGCUCAACGGAUAAAAGGUACUCCGGGGAUAACAGGCUGAUACCGCCCAAGAGUUCAUAUCGACGGCGGUGUUUGGCACCUCGAUGUCGGCUCAUCACAUCCUGGGGCUGAAGUAGGUCCCAAGGGUAUGGCUGUUCGCCAUUUAAAGUGGUACGCGAGCUGGGUUUAGAACGUCGUGAGACAGUUCGGUCCCUAUCUGCCGUGGGCGCUGGAGAAUUGAGGGGGGCUGCUCCUAGUACGAGAGGACCGGAGUGGACGCAUCACUGGUGUUCGGGUUGUCAUGCCAAUGGCAUUGCCCGGUAGCUAAAUGCGGAAGAGAUAAGUGCUGAAAGCAUCUAAGCACGAAACUUGCCCCGAGAUGAGUUCUCCCUGACCCUUUAAGGGUCCUGAAGGAACGUUGAAGACGACGACGUUGAUAGGCCGGGUGUGUAAGCGCAGCGAUGCGUUGAGCUAACCGGUACUAAUGAACCGUGAGGCUUAACCUUACAACGCCGAAG